AAAGAAUUAGUUAAAUUAACAUUAGUGUGUCAAACUGAAGUUAUUAGUAAUAAACUAAUAUUCUUUA
rnacentral:tRNA from 1 species